rnacentral:lncRNA from 1 species
AUGCAAGCAGCCCUGUGGUCCCACACCACAGAAUCACAGAAACACUCAGGUUGGAAGAGACCUCCAAGAUCAUCCGAUCCAACUGCCAACCUAUCACUGCCAUGCCUGCCAGCCGUGUCCCUCAGUGCCACAUCCACACAUUUCUUGAGCAGAUCCUGCCAUCUCCAAACUGCCUUUGUGCUGAUUUGGAUUGCAGGGUCCCACCUGCAUCCCAUGGACACAACAACGGGGUCACACAGAGCAGCAGGAUGCACCCAUGGCACUGCAGGGCUCAGCAGUGAUGCUGUGGGUGGCAGCCACCUCCAGGCCACCUCUGCGGGGUCACCUGGGGAUGGGACCCAGUGCAUGGUGCAUGGUACCCAGUGCAUGGUGCAUGGUACCCAGUGCUCAAUGCAUGGUAUUUGGUGCAUGGUGCAUGGUACCUGGUGCUCAAAGCAUGCUACCUGGUGCAUGGUGCAUGGUACCCAAUGCUCAAUGCAUGGUACCUGUUGCCCAUACCAUAUUACCUGGUGCAUGGUACCCAAAGUAUGGUACCCAGUGCAUGGUGCAAGGUACCUGGUGCUCGGUGCAUGGCACCCAGUGCAUGGUGUAUGGUACCUGGUGCCCAUAGCAUGGUGCCCAGUGCAUGGUGCAUGGUACCCAGUGCAUGCUGCAUGGUACCUGGUGCCCAUAGCAUGGUGCCCAGUGCAUGGUGCAUGGUACCCAAUAUUCAAUGCAUGGUACCUGGUGCCCAAAGCAUGCUACCUGGUGCAUGGUUCCUGGUACCUGGUGCCCAAAGCAUGGUACCCAGUGCAUGGUGUCUGCUACCUGGUUCCCGUUCCCACGCGGUGCUGCAUGGCCGUGCCGGAUGGGGAGCGCUCGGUGUGGCCGCGCAGGAGGCGUUUCCCAGCCCCACGCUGGCUGGAGGCCAGGCUCCCAAAUGAGCCUCCUUGCACCACACCGUGCCGGGAGCUCCCACUCACACCUCCCCAGUAUAAAACCCUGCAACAGCGCAGCGCGCGCACAGCCGGGACAGCCCUCGCAGCAGGUAAGUGGCCCGGCCCAAGCUGGGGGGGGGUUCCCCAUGCCCAGGGGUCCACCACCACCACCCCCCCUCCCACGCUCGGCUCUGCCACGACUUGCAGGGACGCUCCCACCCCUGGGACGUGUUUCGGCAGCUCGGCGCAUCCCAGGGCGUCUUCCUCGUCCCGACUCCGAAGGAGGGGAACGCUCCCCCAAAGCCAACGCUGA